rnacentral:pre_miRNA from 1 species
AGACUACUCCCUCCGUUCGGAAUUACUUGUCUCAGAAAUGAAUGUAUCUAGAACUAAAAUACAUCUAGAUACAUCCAUUUUCGCGACAAGUAAUUCCGAACGGAGGGAGUACUUC